GACGAACGCUGGCGGCGUGCCUAAUACAUGCAAGUCGAACGCAGUGGGGACGGGUGAGUAACACGUGGGUAACCUCCCAUCAGAGGGGAUAACACUUGGACACAGGUGCUAAACCGAUACUGAUGGAUGGCCCGGCGGUGCAUUAGCUCGUUGGGGAGGUAGCGGCUCACCAAGGCGACGAUGCAUAGCCGACCUGAGAGGGUGAUCGUCCACACUGGUACGGAGACACGGGCCAGACUCCUACGGGAGGCAGCAGUAGGGAAUCUUCGGCAAUGGACGAAAGUCUGACCGAGCAACGCCGCGUGAGUGAAGAAGGUUUUCGGAUCGUAAACCUCUGUUGGUAGAGAAGCGGUAUCUAACCAGAAAGCCACGGCUAACGACGUGCCAGCAGCCGCGGUAAUUC
rnacentral:rRNA from 1 species